AGUGAACGCUGGCGGUAGGCCUAACACAUGCAAGUCGAACGGCAGCACAGUAAGAGCUUGCUCUUACGGGUGGCGAGUGGCGGACGGGUGAGGAAUACAUCGGAAUCUACUUUUUCGUGGGGGAUAACGUAGGGAAACUUACGCUAAUACCGCAUACGACCUACGGGUGAAAGCAGGGGAUCUUCGGACCUUGCGCGAUUGAAUGAGCCGAUGUCGGAUUAGCUAGUUGGCGGGGUAAAGGCCCACCAAGGCGACGAUCCGUAGCUGGUCUGAGAGGAUGGUCAGCCACGCGGGAAGUGAGACACGGUCCAGACUCCGAGGGGAGGAAGCGGGGGGGAAUAUUGGGGGAUGGGGGCAAGGCUGAUCCAGGCAUAUCGGGUGGGUGGAGAAGGCCUUCGGGUUGUAGAGCGCUGUUGUUGGGAAAGAAGGGCAGCAGGUUAAGACCGCGCGGUUCUGACGGUACCCAAAGAAUAAGCACCGGCUAACUUCGUG
rnacentral:rRNA from 1 species